rnacentral:rRNA from 1 species
CGGCCGUGCCGGCGUGCUUACACAUGCAAGUCGAGCGGUAAGGCCUUUCGGGGUACACGAGCGGCGAACGGGUGAGUAACACGUGGGUGAUCUGCCUUGCACUUCGGGAUAAGCCUGGGAAACUGGGUCUAAUACCGGAUAUGACCUCCUGAUGCAUGUCGGAUGGUGGAAAGAUUUAUCGGUGCAAGAUGGGCCCGCGGCCUAUCAGCUUGUUGGUGGGGUAAUGGCCUACCAAGGCGACGACGGGUAGCCGACCUGAGAGGGCGACCGGCCACACUGGGACUGAGACACGGCCCAGACUCCUACGGGAGGCAGCAGUGGGGAAUAUUGCACAAUGGGCGAAAGCCUGAUGCAGCGACGCCGCGUGAGGGAUGACGGCCUUCGGGUUGUAAACCUCUUUCGACAGGGACGAAGCGCAAGUGACGGUACCUGUAGAAGAAGCACCGGCCAACUACGUGCCAGCAGCCGCGGUAAUACGUAGGGUGCAAGCGUUGUCCGGAAUUACUGGGCGUAAAGAGCUUGUAGGCGGUUCGUCGCGUCGUUCGUGAAAACUUGGGGCUCAACUGCUGGCUUGCGGGCGAUACGGGCGGACUUGAGUACUGCAGGGGAGACUGGAAUUCCUGGUGUAGCGGUGAAAUGCGCAGAUAUCAGGAGGAACACCGGUGGCGAAGGCGGGUCUCUGGGAAGUAACUGACGCUGAGAAACGAAAGCGUGGGUAGCGAACAGGAUUAGAUACCCUGGUAGUCCACGCCGUAAACGGUGGGCACUAGGUGUGGGUUCCCUUCCCCGAAAUCCUUGCCGUACCUACCGCAUUAGCGACCCCGCCUGGGGGAGUACGGCCGCAAGGCUAAAACUCAAAGGAUUUGACGGGGGCCCGCACAGGCGGGCGGAGCAUUGUGAUUAAUUCGAUGCAACCGCGAGACCUAACCUGGGGUUUGACUAUACACCGGAAAGCUGCAAGAUGGUAGCCCCUGUGUCGUGUACAGUGUGCAUGCUGUCGUCAGCUCGUGUCGUGAAUGUGGGUAGUCCGCACGAGCGCACCUAUCUAUGUGCAGCAC